CCUCAGGGUAAUCAACAUUUCUGGUAUGUUUACUUUUAUUUCUUUUUCAUUUUUGUUUUCUUUUUUUGUUCCAUGUUGCUUUUGUUUUCCUUAUUACUUUCAGAUUCAUAUCGUCUAUGAGUUGAAUUUGUUUAAGUUUCAGCUUGGCCCAUCCAAGCAAAUUUGGUCUCAAGGCUUAGUAGAGUGUUGAGUUAUCUAACCUUAUAUAGAGUUCUAAUAGCUCUUUUCUACUUUUGAUCACCUAACUUAUUUUUCUGACGAAAUUUAGAUCAAAUUCUCCUCUAACACUUUAAAUACUUUGACUCAAAUCAUGCGAGGAGAGUGUGGCCAAAAGCUUUGAAACAUAGACCCAAAGAUGAGUUUGGUGGCAUGCAGAUGUGAAAUAUUGACAUAGAGGGGGUGAUGGGAAAAAGUAUAAUUUUGUGGUACGGUACUUAUUUGUUGAGGCAUGAAGUUGUGGUUUCAAGUGUCAAGCAAAGUAACUUUAUCUUAUAGGCUAGCUUGUGUGAACUGAUGCUUAGAUGCUGCAUAAUUUGCAGGAUCUUUAUAAAUUGUUUUACUUUGUAAGAAUCUCUCUAUAUGCUUGUGUUU
rnacentral:misc_RNA from 1 species